rnacentral:rRNA from 1 species
GACGAACCGAGCGAACGUUGUUCGGAUUCAUUGGGCGUAAAGGGUGCGCAGGUGGUUUGGCAAGUUUGACGUGAAAGCCCCGGGCUUAACCCGGGAACGGCGUUGAAAACUGCUUGAACUGGAGGGUCGGAGGGGGGACUGGAAUUCCUGGUGUAGCGGUGAAAUGCGCAGAUAUCAGGAGGAACACCGAUGGCGAAGGCAGGUCUCUGGGCAUUAACUGACGCUGAGGAGCGAAAGCAUGGGGAGCGAACAGG